GCCGGGCAUGGUGGUGCAUGCCUGUUAUCCCAGCAGCUCAGGGCGCUGAGGCAGGAGGAUUGUGAGUUCAAGGCUAGCUUCAGCAACUUGGCGAGGCCCUCAACAACUCAGUGAGACCCUGUCUCUA
rnacentral:sRNA from 1 species